rnacentral:rRNA from 1 species
GACCUACGGGGGGCAGCAGUAGGGAAUCUUCCACAAUGGGCGAAAGCCUGAUGGAGCAACGCCGCGUGGGUGAAGAAGGUCUUCGGAUCGUAAAACCCUGUUGUUAGAGAAGAAAGUGCGUAAGAGUAACUGUUCACGUUUCGACGGUAUCUAACCAGAAAGCCACGGCUAACUACGUGCCAGCAGCCGCGGUAAUACGUAGGUGGCAAGCGUUAUCCGGAUUUAUUGGGUUUAAAGCGAGUGCAGGCGGUUCAAUAAGUCUGAUGUGAAAACCCUCGGCUCAACCGGAG